rnacentral:rRNA from 1 species
UACGAAGGGGGCUAGCGUUGUUCGGAAUUACUGGCGUAAAGAGCUCGUAGGUGGUUUGUCGCGAUUGUUCGUGAAACUCACAGCUCAACUGUGGGCGUGCGGGCGAUACGGGCAGACUUGAGUACUGCAGGGGAGACUGGAAUUCCUGGUGUAGCGGUGAAAUGCGCAGAUAUCGGGAGGAACACCCGUGGCGAAGGCGGCUCUCUGGGAC